UACAGAGGGUGCAAGCGUUAUCCGGAUUCACUGGGUUUAAAGCGUGCGCAGGCGGUUAUGUAAGACAGGUGUGAAAUCCCCGGGCUUAACCUGGGAACUGCAUUUGUGACUGCAUCGCUGGAGUGCGGCAGAGGGGGAUGGAAUUCCGCGUGUAACAGUGAAAUGCGUAGAUAUGCGGAGGAACACCGAUGGCGAAGGCAAUCCCCUGGGCCUGCACUGACGCUCAUGCACGAAAGCGUGGGGAGCAAACAGG
rnacentral:rRNA from 1 species